rnacentral:lncRNA from 12 species
UGUCAUGUAAAACUUAAAUAAAUUUGUAAGUGUUUCUCCUGUUAAUUUAUCUUUGUCAGUCUAAUUUUCAGAUCCAGCCAGGGACUCUAAGAAGAUUGAGGAAAACUUUUCUUCCCUUUGCUGAUGGAUCUUGCAAAUAUGAGUGCACAAGUAAGAUCAAGAUCUCGAAGAAGGGAGAUGGAAGUCUUCUAAGCUGGAUGAACCUGUGGCUGCUAAGCAAUCAAGUAAAAAAAACAUCAGAAGAAAAGGAACCAACAACCAAGAAUCCAGAUAUUGAGCUUGGACAAGAGAAAGAAGGAGGAGCACAUGUGGUUCAAGGUUGAUGAGGAGAUGGAGAAAAUGUAUUUCAUUUAUGUGGUUAUAUUAGUAACAGAAAUAAAGGGUUUCCUGAAAAUUGGCUGGAAACUUGU